UCUUCGGAAGAUCUGGCAAAUGACUGAGCGGCGGACGGGUGAGUAACGCGUGGAUAACCUGCCUCACACUGGGGGAUAACAGUUGGAAACGACUGCUAAUACCGCAUAAGCCCACGGGUCGGCAUCGACCUGAGGGAAAAGGAGCAAUCCGCUUUGAGAUGGCCUCGCGUCCGAUUAGCUAGUUGGCAGGGUAACGGCCUACCAAGGCGACGAUCAGUAGCCGACCUGAGAGGGUGACCGGCCACAUUGGGACUGAGAUACGGCCCAGACUCC
rnacentral:rRNA from 1 species